rnacentral:misc_RNA from 1 species
UGUUCUCUCUUUCGGUUUGUUGUGCAAAGCCAUGAUACGACAAAACAUGAGAUGAGGCUGAAAUAGGAAUAGGAGAACUUCACUUUGUAAGUGAUAAGACAACUAAUAUAUUCAUUCAAACUGCUGUCACAGUUGACUUCAAUGUUAAACUGUAAUUGUGAUACGAGAAAACAGUGGACACUCUUUUGAAGAAAAAACAAAAAUACUCAUCUGAUGAAACUUCACUGACGCUGGACACCCUCUACACAGGGAAGUAUGGCCGACCAAAGCCAGAAAAGCAGUUUCUAUAACGGUUACAAUGACAAUCGAUCAUCCACAACAGGACCACCUGUCUCAAGCAACACCUCAAGUAUGUCCCAGGGGCUCGCCGGGGCCGGAUGCAGAGUGGAUACUCCUGUACAAGGGACUUCUGCUGGUCAUGCAUCAUUGAUGGGACAGCAAGAUGUUAGGAGGUCCGAUGCAGAUCGUGGUCAUCAGGCCUGUGGUGGGGCAACUGCAGAUGGCGCUGAUUGUUUUGGAGAAAAGAGAUAUGACACCGGCCUUGGAAUAAAUGUGCGCAUAUAUUCCGGCGACAUAUCUAAAUCUGAAGCAGAUGCCAUCACAACUGGAGAGGGACUACAAGUUAUUCUUAUGAGUCAGGUGACAAGAUCUAUUGCUCAUCUUCUUGGAACGCCAUUUGAAGAAAGAAGAGAAAAAUUGUUUACAACAAAUGGAGGACAUUUAAAGGGAGGGGAAGUGUAUGUUACAAACAUAAAAAGUGAUCUUGUUAAAUACCAAUAUGUGCUGCACACGGUCGUACUUGUUAAUCGUGGCUCUAUCAGCGAUGUCAGAAGGCUGUAUUGCAAAGUGCUUGAAAGAUCAGAUCUCCUCAAAGUGGAUACAGUAGCUGUUCCAUUGCUGGGUACAGGCAGCGGUCAAAUCGGUCAAGAGGAUGCCAUCAGAGCAUUGGCAGAUGGCCUACACCGCUAUGCAAUAGACAGGCUUAAAAGAUAUACUAAGCCUCUCAAUGUAGAGAUUGUGACACCACAAGUGAAACUUAUAGAUAUUGUCUACAAGGAAAUUGAGAAGUGUUUUAACAGCCAACCAGCUCCUGCAUCAACACAAAACAGUGGCACACUAAUGUCGAAGACAUCAUCCAAGAAACAUCUACAAGGUUCCGCUGAACACACAACGCACAGAGCUUCUGGUCACAAAUGCUCUGAUCGAAGCUAUACAUGGAAUAAAGGCCCACAGCUGAGAUCAAAUCGACUCACAACAGUAAGUAACGGCGCUAUGGUCGCUGCCUUUGACACUGAGAAAGCCGGCACUGGUGCCAUCCAUGGUCUAUACCAUGAGCCAGGAAUGACCAAUUUGCAAACCAGAACUGCAGAUCUCUCUCUUGGUUGUGAUGUUCCCAGUAGAAAGCCCCAUGGGCACAGCAGUGGUAAUGAUGCUGGAGACACUCCUCAUCUGGGAACCAGUUCGGGAUGGGGAGGACAAUGCAAUGAAACUUCCAGUUCAGGUGGAGAUCAAGACGGUUUGGAAGAGACAGACAGAGUUAUUCCUGAAGAGCAGCCUGACCUGAAGGUUACUGAUGUCGGCAGGGCAGAGGAAGAAACGUGCCCAAUCUGUAUGGACUUGAUCCAAAAUAUGAAAGUGUUGGGCAAAUGUGGUCAUAAAUUUUGCCAAAAAUGCAUUGAAGACUGCUUCAGGAGCUGUAAGCCCAUCUGUCCAACGUGUCUGACUGUGUAUGACGUCAUCACUGGCAACAUGCCACAAGGGACGAUGUCUGUGAAUACAGCAUCCUUCCCCAGCCUACCUGGAUACGAGGGGUGUGGCUUCCUCACCAUACAGUACCAUUUCCCAGAUGGUUGGCAGACACACAAUCAUCCCCAUCCAGGCCGACGUUACCAUGGAACAUCACGUGUAGCCUUCUUGCCAGCUAAUGGAGAGGGGCGGAAGGUGUGCCGACUUCUCCAACUGGCCUUUGAUCGAAAACUGACUUUCACAGUGGGAAGGUCAGCGACCACUGGCCGCGAUGACGUGGUCACCUGGAACGACAUCCACCACAAGACGAACGUGGAUGGUGGUCCCACCAGAUUCGGAUACCCAGACGACACCUACUUGUUUCGGGUCCAGGAGGAGCUGGCCAGUAAAGGUGUCACGGAGGAUCAGCUGUAGCACACACACACCCACCAGUUGGUGUCACCGAGAGACAGCUGUACUUCACCAGCUCUGACAGGAUCUCUCACACACAUCCCUGCUGUCACCGAGAGACAGCUGUACUUCACCAGCUCUGACAGGAUCUCUCACACACAUCCCUGCUGUCACCGAGAGACAGCUGUACUUCACCAGCUCUGACAGGAUCUCUCACACACAUCCCUGCUUUCACCGAGAGACAGCUGUACUACACUAGCUCUGACAGGAUCUCUCACACACAUCCCUGCUGUCACCGAGAGACAGCUGUACUUCACUAGCUCUGACAGGAUCUCUCACACACAUCCCUGCUGUCACCGAGAGACAGCUGUACUACACCAGCUCUGACAGGAUCUCUCACACACAUCCCUGCUCCCAGGAGUGGCAACGGAUGGCCCUGUUGCCUAAUCCACUGUGCAGAGUUGUGUCCCUUAGGUGGGCCCUGUAUCAUGGGUUCGAAUCCCAGAAUGCCUUGCUUGUAGAAUUCCUGUCAGUGACAACAGCGGACACAAUACUCCUAUUACACAGUAUUUAUUGAACAUGUAUCACACUUAUUUGUUCACAAUAGGGUACCCUAGAUCACACAGAAACUGCAAAGUUUUUCUUAUUUUGGUCACCAUAAAAUAAAAAGUAAAUGGAAACAGCUGAUUGUCCACGUGCCUUUACAUUAUUAAAAGUUGGUGCUAUUUCGGACAACUCUAAUUAUUUAUAACAUUGAACACGUUGAAUAGUGCACGUGAAGUGAGAAAUGUUGAUCUCUGAGAGUCUACAGACAGUGCGAAUAGUCUAAACAAAAUGUUUUCCAAAGGAGGAAUCAACAAUCAUGUAUGUAUCGCGGUAGAAAUCAAGCUCGGUAUCAUGAGGUAUUGUUUCCAGCUCCCAAGUGAUGACAUCAUAGAUCACCUGUUGUCUUGAAUACUGAAUGGGACCUGUUGAUGUUACGUUGCUGACACAGUGUCAAUCAUGUUUUUAUGCCUAACCUCACAUCAUACUGUCCUACCUGUGAUCUAUUUAAUAGCAUUUCAUAAUGUAUUAUGGUGAGUCAUUUCCGGAGCACAACUUGAAAACUGUGAAAGACUUUUUUAUCAAAACCUGGUACAUUUAUUAACCAAGGGCAGAAGUGGUUCCUUUUACUAUUUGGGAAUUUUUCAAAAUUUCAUUUUUCCCUGUAUCCAUGAAAACAAGUUAGACUUAGCUGAAAUGGAGGUAGGUGUCGUUUCCGGAACAGAAUUAUAAAACUGUUCAACAUUUAUCAUCCAAACUUGGUACAUGUACACAUAUUAAACAAGGGCUGAAGAGGUGCUUUUGCUAUUUAGGACAUUUAUAUUUUUUCCUGUUUUGCAAGGCAACAAGUUUGACUUUGACUGUGUUCAUUGUGGUGUCCUUGUCCAGACCAUGUCUCUAAAACCAAUAGCUAUUCUUUCAUGGCACUUUGCACACACAAGACCAGUUUGUCAGAUGGUGCCUUUUGCAAUUUAGGGCUGUUUAGCAUUUAUAUUUUUUCAUUUCUAUGGCAGCACGUUUGACUUUGACUCUCUUCACAGCGAUAGAAACUAACUGUUUUAGUCCACUAGUCCUUGUAAUUAAAACAUAUAGCAAAACCCUUAAUAAUGGCAAAUUUCUACUACCUUAUGAUACCUUAACUAUUGGGCAGUUUGGCAAGGACUAUAUGCCAAUAUCUAACACUGCUUCUUAGAAAUGUGUUUCUCCAGACUAUAUUUCUAAAACCAAUAGGCACUCUUUUUAAAGCUAUGCACACACAAAGACCAGGUUGUCAACUGGUGCCUUUUGCUAUUUAGGGAUUUUUAGAAUAUAUAUUUUUUGUUUCCAUGGCAACGCGUUAUAUUUUUACUGUUCUUAGUGGUGUGUACUUGACAUAGAAAUACAAAGUUCUGUAUCCUUAUUCCAUGGUAUUGUUUUGAUAGCACAAUAACUACUCUUGUACAAGGACAGACAGAUUAGAUAGAAGUUCUCUCAUCAAAUUGGACUUUGAGUAAGAGUCAAACAAUUUGUUCUUUUUUUCAUUUGUGGUGGCUGGGGGAAUUUGUCAUCUUCUGAUGACUUUUGUUUAUUGAGCAACCUGUUUGUUUGUUUGAUUAUAUUUAGUAUAUUAAGUCAGAUUAACCAGCCAUGAUCAAUGCACUGUUUUCUAUACUCUAUAAAUACCAGAUUAUUAACACUUUUCUCAGAAUGAUCACAAUCUGAUACUUGUAAACAUCAAUGAUUUCUCUCUUGAAAAGUUUAUUAUAGUAGAUGAGAGCAAUGUCUACAUAGUUGCAAAUCUUGUCACUGCUACGAUUGAUAAACCUAUUUUGUGGGAAACAGGAUGUUUCCUGUAACAAAUGUUACAUUUGGGAUAACACUUUCUUAGUAAAUACAGAUUCUCGUACAUUUUGGGUUGAGUCCCGUCCUGGAUUCGAACCCACACUGCCAGAGUGAGGAAGGGAGUUAACCAAAAAAGUACGAGAAUCUGUAUUUACUAAGAAAGUGUUAUCCCAAAUGUAACAUUUAUUACAUUUGACCACUUUCUAAAUGGCAUUGUGUGUUCAUAAGAUGUUUCCUAUUUGGAAAUAACAUGUGGACACCAAUGACAUGAUCACUCUCCCCACUCCCUGAAGAAAUGGUACCCUUGUAUUAUGUAUACUACUCAAGGGAAGUUAAGGAGCACCCGACUCUUUCUUAUUACUUCAUAUUAAGUCAUGCCACGAGGGAUUAACUAUCAUAUGAAAGAAAUGGAUGUUCUUUGUGGUAUUGUCAAGACUACUACCACAUCUAUGAUACAAUUAUAAGUAGUCAUGCCCCUAACAGUAUAGCUUGUACUUCCUGUGUGCUGGGCAUGUAGGUAAUAGUCAGUACACCGCGGUGUAUAGAAGUCUCACAUUCUUUAACAUCUCUUGAAUAGUAUACAUGUAUAUCCCUGUCUGGCUGUCAAAUGAAAAUGACAAAAUGGAAGCUUUCAUUCAAUAGUUUAUGGACGAGAAACCUCAUGCCUCAGAGACCAUCAUGAGAUUAUUGCUAUAUUGCUGACUAUGCAAUCUUGUUACUCGUUUAUGGUUGGUGAGUUACAGUUGAAAAUUCUCAAGUUUGUUUCCCCUUCCAGUUCAAAGAGGAUAGGGAUGUGAUGUUUUGGUGAAUUUGAUAUUGGAUAUUGUGUGAUUUUCAUAUUAGGACUCUGUAACAUUUCGGAAUUGAUGUGUGUUUUGACAGCUGUUUCAAGACAUGGGAAUCUGUCAUUGAGUACCAGUUAGAGUUAUCUCCCUUUGUCUUCAUUAUCACAAGCUCCAUCCCAGGAUGUGACACCUUCAUAACCCUCCUGUAGGGCUGGGACGAGUCCAAAUAUAUAUGUUGCUGAGUGAGGGGUUAAACAACAAACAAACAAAUGUUAGAGGAGUGAAAGUAAAGUUGACAUCAGCAUGUCCAAAUGUGGCCUUAUCUACCUUUUACUGUUUCUGACACAGAAGUAUGAUCAAUGUACAAGGUCCUCCAGGUCUGAUGUUCACAGCCUUCUCUUGCUUGUAUAUAUGUAUAGUGGAGUCAAGCUAAACAAUAGUUAAUGUAUAUGUUUAUUAAAGUUUGAUAAAACUCA